rnacentral:lncRNA from 1 species
UGAGGGAGUAGUUUGGUACAGGAUUAAAUUUGUGAGGUUAAAUAUUUUUGUGCAACAUUUUAUAGAGUAAAUAUUAUUUUUAUGAAAAAAAAAAAAGUGUAAGCGAUGCAUGCAUGAUUAUUUGAAAAGAAAGAGUGAGAAGAGACAAUGUUAGGAUAGAGAAAUGAAAGAUUAAGGGUCGAGGGAGGAAGUGAGGAGAAAAAAUGGAAGAUAGUAAGUGAGAAAAGAAGUAAUGAGAAAAGAGAAACUGAAGAGAGAUAAAAUAGAGGAGGAGAGAGAAGACAAUGAAAGAAAAAGAGAGAAGACUAGAGUAUAAAGAAUGAGAGAGAAAGUGAACGAGAAAAGGUGAGAAAAAAGAAUGAGAAGAGAAAAAGUAAAAAGAGAGAAAGGACUUAAGAAAAAGAAAUUGAAGAGAGAUACAACAAGGAGAGAGGCAAAAGAGCAAAAGUAAAAAAAGAGAAAGUGAUGAAAAAGAUGAUAGUGAGAAAGUGUGAAGAGAGAAGGGAAAGAAGAGAGAUAAAGAAAAUAGAGGGGUGAGAGAGAAAGUAAAGCGAGAAAAUAAGAGAGAGAAAAAUGAAAAGAGGAAAUAAAAAGAAAAAAAAGUGAGGAGAGAUAAAUGAAAGAGAGAUUGAGAGAGAAAAUGAUGAGGAAAUUGUAAAGAGAAAAAGUGAAGAGAGAAAUUAAAGAGAGGGAAAGUAAAGAAAGAAAUUAAGACAGAAAAAGUUCAGAGAGAAAAUAAGAGAUUGUGGAGAACGAUUAAAACAAAGAAAGUGAGGGGAGAGAAAGUGAGAGGAAUAAUGUAAAAAGGAUUAAAAUUUUAUUACUUUUUAUAUAUUAUCUAGGCCUUUUGCAUAAAAAAUUUAUUAUCUUUGCAUUUUUACAAAAUCGAAUCAUUUUUUUAAUUUUACAGAUUCGAACCAAAUUUGUAAAACACUAACAAAAAUAUCCAUAUUUUCUCUUUCCUUUCUCUUUCUCCUUCCUCUCUUUAUCCUUCCAUUUCCUUUCCCUCCUCUUCUUCCUCCUCCACUGCCUCCACGUCGUCACCGUGCUCCUCCCCCCACCUCGCCUAUGUCUCUAUCGCCGCCGCCACACUUCUAGCUACCUACCUCAUUUUUGCAGAC